rnacentral:rRNA from 1 species
AACGAACGCUGGCGGCAUGCCUAACACAUGCCAGUCGAACGAGACCUUCGGGUUUAGUGGCGCACGGGUGCGUAACGCGUGGGAACCUGCCCUUAGGUUCGGAAUAACGCCCCGAAAGGGGUGCUAAUACCGGAUAAUGUCUUCGGACCAAAGGUUUAUCGCGUUUGGGUGGGCCGGCGUUGGAUUGGCUAGUUGGUAGGGUAAAAGCCUACCAAGGCGACGAUCCAUAGCUGGUCUGAGAGGAUGAGCAGCCACACUGGGACUGGGACACGGCCCAGACUCCUGCGCGAGGGAGCAGUGGGGAAUAUUGGACAACGGGCGGAAGCCUGAUCCAGCAAUGCCGGGUGAGUGAUGAAGGCCUUAGGGUUGUAAAGUUCUUUUACACGGGAUGAUAAUGACAGUACCGGGAGAAUAAGCACCGGCUAACUCCGUG